GCCUCCGUGGUGUAGUGGUAGAACGUGCCCCCUGGUAUGGGUGAAACGCGGGUUUAACUGCCGUCUGAGGCC